GUGGCUGCCUGGAGCAACCGCCCGAGGCGCUGACGUAGCUCCAGUCUCAAAGCGUGUGGUCAACAAGUGUUCACCUAGUCAAGUGUGUGUCCGCACAACCAGCCCCCCCAGGAGAGCUGAUGAGGGUCUGCGUAGGGCCCACCUUUGACCCUGCGCGCCACUUCGGUGGCAGGAAUGCGCACGCACGGUCCAGGUCUGAACUUCCGGAUCUUCUGCUGAGUCAGCAGUUGGAGCUGAACUCUGUUGUGGUGAAGCUGCAAAGCAAGAGGUCCAGCAAGCACAUCCUGCUUAUGCUGGCUCAUCAUCAAAAGCAAAAAAGGACCAGGAGAGCCAUGCAGUGAGAAGAGCUUUAAACCGCACGGCAUGCGAUGGCGAUACCGUACAUGUGAGACGCUUAUUUGAACCCACAGUGGGUGGUGACUGUGGAUUCAAAGGCGCCAGGGUUUGCUCCGAAGCGGGAAGUGGCAGCCAUUGUGGUCAGUCGUGUGGAAUGGACCCAGUGUGAAUGUGGAGGGGCCGUCAGACGUUUCCCGUUCUUCCUUUUACUCUCUGCAACCUCCAAAAAAAAAGAAAAGCAAAUUAAACCAAUAAACUGCAAUGUUAAAAAAAGACUCCAUCAUUUUUAGGCAAACAUGGUCUUAAGGACACAGGUAAGCACACAUGCACACCCGCCCACCAACACCCCUUCUGCCUCCCCCGGUUAAAUAUCCUAGUUAUUAAGCUGCAGAUUUCUGAGGCUCUGUGUGUGACACAUCUGGCCCGGGCCUUCAGGAAAUGACUGGUUCACUUCACUCUUGUCAUCACCUUCCAACACAUUUCUUUCACAUUUCAAUUUGGGAACGGCACAGCAGGCCACUGCCGCACAUAAACACACAUCUGCGCGCACACAAACGGCACCGCCUGCGUGCACAUCUGGGCGAACGUGCCGAGGCACAGACGCACACACGGUCCUUAUUAGCCACGGUGGGAGUGCACCGCUGGCUCUCACAGCCUCUCAGCGAGGAGGGGAGGGCUUGCCGCUCCUGGCCUCCCUGAGCCUUUUGUUGACAGUAGAAAACCUCUUAACCACCCGUGACACAAACUACCAGUUUAGACCUGGUCGGGAUUAGGAUAAACUGAGUUUUUUUUUUUUGAUGGAUGCACAAACUUAUACAACUCAGAACAACCACAGAAGCAGGAGUUUUCUUGGAGAAAGUUUUUACUCUGCCAUUUUCAGAUUGACUCGGAUCCUUAAAGUUUCCUCGUUUGGAGAAAAAAUGAGUCACUAAAACUGAAAUAGAAAGAGCAGAUUUAUAGUUGCCAGGUCCAAAGUUACAAAAUCUCAUAGCAAAGACUUUAGAGCCUCCUGACAACGCGUAAAUUAUUCCAGGAGCAGUUUGGUCGGACGAUUCAAAGACAGAUUUAGAGCAACCAGGGAUCCUACAGUUCUGUCCUGCAGCCGUCCUGGACUGAUGGACCCCCCUUUUUAAUUAUGACACAGAAUAAGCAGUUUUUAAGUAGAAAAUGAAAAAGCAUUUUGAAGUAUUGAUUCUUCGUAUUAAUUUUGAGUCCUUUGAUGCAGCUACAUUUUGAAAAUGAAAAAGCAUUUCUGUUAAUCCAUUUUA